AACGAACGCUGGCGGCAUGCCUAACACAUGCAAGUCGAACGAGACCUUCGGGUCUAGUGGCGCACGGGUGCGUAACGCGUGGGAACCUGCCCUUAGGUUCGGAAUAACUCCCCGAAAGGGGUGCUAAUACCGGAUAAUGUCUUCGGACCAAAGAUUUAUCGCCUUUGGAUGGGCCUGCGUUGGAUUAGCUAGUUGGUAGGGUAAAAGCCUACCAAGGCGACGAUCCAUAGCUGGUCUGAGAGGAUGAUCAGCCACACUGGGACUGAGACACGGCCCAGACUCCUACGGGAGGCAGCAGUGGGGAAUAUUGGACAAUGGGCGAAAGCCUGAUCCAGCAAUGCCGCGUGAGUGAUGAAGGCCUUAGGGUUGUAAAGCUCUUUUACCCGGGAUGAUAAUGACAGUACCGGGAGAAUAAGCACCGGCUAACUCCGUG
rnacentral:rRNA from 1 species